rnacentral:rRNA from 1 species
AAACGAAGUGAAUUGAAAUAUCUUAAUAACUUCAGGAAAAAAAAUCAAAAGAGAUUUCUUAAGUAAUGUGAAUGAAACAGAAUAAGUCUUGUUUUUGUAUUAGGUCUUUUUAUAUUCUCUGUUUUUGAUUGCUCUAGCAUUUUAUUAUAAAAAAAAAUUAAUGCUUGCUUGUAAUACUAAACAAGCUUAGGUAGUUAUCAACAUAAAAAUAUGAAAAAGACACAUUGCUUGUUAAAUCAUACGAGCUGAUGCUGCGUACAUAAAGGAAAAAGUAAAAUGGAGUGCAUAUCUGUUUGAAUAAAAGGGGAACCUUCCUCUAAGACUAAAUAUAAUAUAUAAGCGAUAGCGAAUAGUACCGUAAGGGAAAUGAUUGAAAUAGUAAUUUUAUAAGCAGCUCAAAGAUGGUUUAAAUAAACAAUGAGAGCGUACCUUUUGCAUAAUGGGUCAGCAAGUUAAUAUUCGAUGCGAGCAAUAAUGCAAAGAUAAAACAAUUAUGAUAUAAUAAUGUAGUAUCGAAAUUAGACCCGAAACCUAGUGAUCUUACCAUGAUCAGGGUUAUAAAAGUCCGAACGGGUUAUCGUUGUAAAGAUAUCCGAAGAAUCGUGGUAAGUUAGUGAAAGACAAUUCUGACUAGGAUAGCUGGUUUUCUGCGAAACCUAUAUAAGUAGGUAAUUUAAAUAGAAUAUCAGAAGGUACAGAAUUGUGAUCUCAUGCAACCAGUAUUUAUUAAUAUAUUAAUAAAAAAAAAAGAACAACUUGUUUGUGUACUUAUACUAGGUUAUCCUACGUAAGUAUUCACGCAUGUUUAUCUUUUUAGGGAUAUUAUAAUAUUAACAAAAAUAUACUUUUUGUGGACAUUGGGGGGUCGUGAAGACUCUAUCAGUGAGUAUUUGUUCUCGGAAGGACUAGAUAUGUAUAUUGAAUAAUCGGACAUAGUACGAUAAGGUUGUAUGUCUAAAGGGAAAUAGCCCAGAACAAGAGUUAAUAAGGUUCCAAAAUUUUUGUUAAGUGAAAUUAAGGCAGUAUUUAUCCCAAUCGGCCAGGGAAUAGGCUUAGAAGCGGCCAUUUUUUGAAGACCUCGUAACAGAGCACUGGUUUUAUAUUUUAUGGAUAAAAGCACCGAAAAUUUAACGGAUCUAAACAAAAUACCGACACCUUGUCCAUAUAUAUUAAUGUGUAUAUUAUAUAUUGUAUAUAUGGGGUAGCGGAACAUUGGGCGUGAAACAGCCAUUUUUAAUCCUUUAUAAGGAUUAAAUUGCCUAGAGUUUUUUUAUUAAUCUCUAGACUAUAUAAGCCCAAGUGAUAAUGCUGACAUGAGUAACGAUAAAGGAUCAUUAAUACAUAAAAUAUUAGAGAAUCCUCGCCUAAAGCUUAUGGAAUUUAUUAAAGUUACGGCCUCUAAGUUUAUUUUUUUGUCUUAGCUUCCGAUUAUUUAUAUAUAGUAUAUAUUUAAUAUCUACGUCUAAAUAGUCGAGAGUUAUGACAAAUUACCUAAUGGUAUAGACGAUGAGAAAACCUAGAGUUUACAGUAAUUAACGUUUUUUAUUUACGUAUUAACUGGAACUCCGCUUAUUCUAUUGAAUUGUUAUUUUAAUAAUCUAUUGUUAAAGGAAAAACGGAAGAUCUUUACUAAUAUUUUAAGUAAAUUAUGUGAAAAAUGUUCUGGAAAACUGUAAGCUCCGUAAGUAAUAUAAAAAAAGUAAAACAAAGAUAUAUUGCAAGCUUAUGCUAUAAUACCGUACCUAAAUACUAACACAAGUGAGCAAGUAGAGAAUACGAAGGCGUUCGAGCUAACAAUCAUUAAGGAACUCGGCAAAUUGACUCUCGUAACUUCGGGAUAAGGUGGGCCAUUUCUUCUGAUUAAUAUCAGGUAAGAAAGAGGAGGCAUAGAAUGGUGUUGUACGACUGUUUAAUUAAAACAAAGCACGCUGCGAAGAAAUAAAUUCGAUGUAUUGAGUGUGAUCUCUGCCCGAUGGCGGCUGGUUAACUAAUUUGCUUAGUUAAAUAAAAUAAACUAGGCUUUGAUGGAAACCCCGUUCAAUGGCGGCCUUACCUAUAAGGGUCCUAAGGUAGCGUAAUACCUUGGCCGUUAAAUGCGGUCUUGCAUGAAUGAUGUAACGAUACAACAGCUGUCUCUAUGAUUGGCUCGGUGAAAUUGGAAUAACUGUGCAGAUACAGUUUACCUCUAGUUGGACGAGAGUGCGACUAGAAAGUGCAAUAUAAUAAUGUGGUAUGAUUCCACCUGAUAACCCAUUAUCUGAGCUCAUGCGGUAUGCAUUAGAAGUAAUUCUUUUGUGUAAAGCCCGUUAAAUAAUAAUUUAUAUUAUCCUACCUUAAAAUUAAUUUUAAGGCAGGUGAGCUAAUUUUACUAUGGAUAAUUAAUUUGAAUUCACGUCAGAAGCGUAUUAGAGGGGUUUAUUUUUUAAGUAAUAAACAAUAAGCUUUACUUAUCAAGUUUAACGGCUUAAUCUUGCUUUACUGUUUGACUUACAUGUCUUUCAGUUGCGUAAGCGGGGCAUAUGAUCACAAGAUGCAGAAAGGAAAGGUCUUGGAUUAUUGAAAAAGUUACGCUAGGGAUAACAGGCUAAUCGCGCCAGAGAGUUCAAAUUGAGUGCGGGGUUUGGCACCUCGAUGUCGGCUUAGCUCAUCCACAUGAAUGUAGGAGUCAUGAAGGGUCCGACUGUUCGUCGAUUAAAGAGCUACACGAGCUGGGUUAAAUACGUUGUGAGACAGUAUGGUUUCUAUCCUCUAGAGGAAGUUGGAAUAAAUUAGGGAUAGCCCCUUGUACGAGAGGAGUUGGGUAUAUUAACCUAUGGUUUACCUGUUGUUUGUUUUGCCAUAUUAUUGUAACUUAUAGAGACAAUCUCUCCAUUUGUUAUAGCCUCUGAGUUUAUAACCAAGAACGCAAUAUUUUAGGUGUAAUAGCUUAUGCUGGCAAUUACUUUUCACUAAAGUAACAUUUACUUAGGCAGAAAUAAACUGAAAUAGAUGAUAUGUCUAGUAAAAAGGCACGGCAGGAAAGCUACGUUAGUUAAUGAUAAGUGCUGAAUGCAUAUAGGCACGAAACAUACCUUAGGAUAUUCUCAUAUAUACGUAGUUUAAUACUACAAUUU